rnacentral:rRNA from 1 species
AGCCUAACAGCUAGCUCACACCCCAAAAUGCAACAAUACACUAUUAAUAAACCCCGACAACCCAAAAUAUCCAAAACAAACCAUUUUUCCCCCUUAGUAUGGGCGACAGAAAAGGAACUUACGAAGCGAUAGCAAUAGUACCGCAAGGGAACGCUGAAAGAGAAAUGAAACAAAUCAGUAAAAGCGCAAGAAAGCAGAGUUUAACCCUCGUACCUUUUGCAUCAUGAUUUAGCAAGAACACAUCAGGCGAAGAGCACUUUAGUCUGACCCCCCGAAACCAAGUGAGCUACUCCAAGACAGCCUAUUAAGGGCGUACCCGUCUCUGUGGCAAAAGAGUGGGGAGAGCUUUGAGUAGAGGUGACAGACCUACCGAACUUGGUUAUAGCUGGUUGCCCAAGAAAUGAAUAGGAGUUCAGCCUUUUGCCCUCUCCCCCCAACCUCACGAGUCGCUUUAUGCGCCUGAGAGGACAAAAGAGUUAGUCAAAGGGGGUACAGCCCCUUUGAAACAGAUACAACUUUACUAGCAGGGUUAAAAUCAAACAACACUAGGGAACGUGUUUUAGUUGGCCUAAAAGCAGCCACCCAUACAGAAAGCGUUAAAGCUCAUACACCCCCUACCCCCAUUAUUUUGAUCACAUUAUUUUAUCCCCCUAAAAUAUACUGGGCCUUUCCAUCCGCAUGGAAGAGACCAUGCUAAUAUGAGUAAUAAGAGACCUACGACUCUCUCCCUGCACGAGUGUAAAUCGGAACGAACCAACACCGAGAAUUAACGGCCUCAAAGAAGAGGGCACUGGAACAUUACGGCACACCCACUAGAAAAACAUCCACACCACAUACCGUUAACCUUACACUGGAGUGCUUGCAAGGAAAGACUAAAAGAAAAAGAAGGAACUCGGCA